UAAAAUUUCUCAAAGUUUUUUUCGAUACUAAACUAAAAACUAAGUAACCAUUUAACUUUUUAUGAUAGUCAAAACUGUUCAAAAUUCAUGAAAAUAACUAAAUGUAACUUAGAGUUUAAUACAAAGCCACAAAAUUACUCAUCUAUUUUAAUAUCAGGUGCUGUUACUGUAAAUAGGACGUUUUCAUCUGACUCAGGCAAUGAACCUCGUCCCACGCGCUGCACUACCCUAAAUAUCAUUAUCGUACAGAAUUUAUGAAAGCGAGCAUCCUUGAUGACGUCACCUAAUUUCUCCGGGCGUUUCUUCGGCCUUGAUGCGAGAUGCACGUGGCGGCCAGGAUCCGCAGACGUUUCCCCUUGCUUGGUAUGCUGGGCGGCGCUCAAGGCCAGGCGGUGCUGUGCGACGCAUAUUGAUCGCGUGCCCUGGUACUCUGCUACCUUCGUAACUUUAAUUUCUACCAAGAAUCGACCACAUUAAUACGAAUGUAGGAACAAGUUGCUCGUGGAAUGCGCAGGCGUAACUGACCUUUUGAAGCGGAGUGCCGACUGCAACACAAUCGGCGAUUACCGGAACACUUCUGCAGAAGUAUGAACAUGUGUAAUCACCGUGAUUAUGAACCUGGUGAUUGGCAGUCCACAAGGCAACCGUGACAUGCGAAAAUCAACCUUAAGUCCACGAAUGAACGCUUUAGUUUGAAUUGUGUGUCAAAUGUUUUAGUACUCGUAUUAAUACAGUGAUUUUAAACAGUUAUGAUAAUAUAGGAAGGUUAGUGUUGUUAUAAUUAGGU